ACGUACUGCCAGUACGUUCCGGUUCCUGCGCGCGGUCCGCACCUGAAUUGCCGGCGCUCGCUACGCCUGCCAAAC
rnacentral:sRNA from 1 species